rnacentral:misc_RNA from 1 species
AGCAGCCGCGGUAAUUCCAGCUCCAAUAGCGUAUAUUAAAGUUGUUGCAGUUAAAAGCUCGUAGUUGAAUUUCGGGGUUCUACCGUCGGUCGGGCUACCAAGUCUGUACUGGUGUGUAGAAUUUCUACCUUCUGGGGAACCAUCAUGUUAUUAAUUUAGCGUGGUGGGAAACCAGGACCUUUACCUUGAAAAAUUAGGGUGUUCAAAGCAGGCUUAUGUCUGAAUACAUUAGCAUGGAAUAAUAGAAUAGGACGGUGGUCCUGUUUUGUUGGUUUCUGAAUCACCGUAAUGAUUAAUAGGGAUAGUUGGGGCAUUAGUAUUCAAUUGUCAGAGGUGAAAUUCCUAGAUUUAUUGAAGACUAACUUCUGCGAAAGCAUUUGCCAAGGAUGUUUCAUUAAUCAAGAACGAAAGUUAGGGAUCGAAGACGAUCAGAUAUCGUCGUAGUCUUAACCAUAAACUAUGCCGACUAGGGAUCGGACGAUGUUAAAUUUAUUGACUCGUUCGCGCCUUACGGGAAACC